rnacentral:rRNA from 1 species
AUUAUCCUACGGGAGGCAGCAGUGGGGGAUAUUGGACAAUGGGGGAAACCCUGAUCCAGCGAUGCCGCGUGAGGGAAGAAGGUUUUCGGAUUGUAAACCUCUGUGGAGGGGGACGAUAAUGACGGUACCCCUUUAGGAAGCCACGGCUAACUACGUGCCAGCAGCCGCGGUAAUACGUAGGUGGCGAGCGUUGUCCGGAAUUACUGGGUGUAAAGGGAGUGUAGGCGGGAAAGCAAGUCAGAAGGUAAACAUUUGGG